rnacentral:tRNA from 1 species
CAAAUUAUAGCUUGAUAAAAGUUUUUUAUUUACAUUAAAAAUUACUGUGUAAUUCAGUAUAGUUUGA